rnacentral:tRNA from 1 species
AAGGGGUGGUUAACCAACAAGAACUGCUAACUCUUGCAUCUGAGCUUAAAACCUCAGCCCCCUUA